rnacentral:rRNA from 1 species
UACGGAGGGUGCAAACGUUGCUCGGAAUCAUUGGGCGUAAAGCGCACGUAGGUGGCCUGUUAAGUCGGGUGUGAAAUCCCUGGGCUCAACCCAGGAAGUGCACUCGAAACUGGCAGGCUUGAGUACUGAAGAGGGUCGCGGAAUUCCCGGUGUAGAGGUGAAAUUCGUAGAUAUCGGGAGGAACACCAGUGGCGAAGGCGGCGACCUGGGCAGAUACUGACACUGAGGUGCGAAAGCGUGGGGAGCAAACGGG